UACGAAGGGUGCAAGCGUUACUCGUAAUUACUGGGCGUAAAGCGUGCGUAGGUGGUUUCUUAAGUCUGCUGUGAAAGCCCCGGGCUCAACCUGGGAAUUGCAGUGGAUACUGGGGAGCUAGAGUGCGGUAGAGGGUAGUGGAAUUCCCGGUGUAGCGGUGAAAUGCGUAGAGAUCGGGAGGAACACCAGUGGCGAAGGCGGCUACCUGGACCAGCACUGACACUGAGGCACGAAAGCGUGGGGAGCAAACGGG
rnacentral:rRNA from 1 species